AGACGGGGGGUGCUAGCGUUGUUCGGAAUUACUGGGCGUAAAGGGCGCGUAGGCGGCUCUGCGAGUCGGGCGUGAAAUCCCGGGGCUCAACCCCGGAACGGCGCUCGAUACUGCGGGGCUCGAGACCGGAAGAGGAGGGUGGAAUUCCCAGUGUAGAGGUGAAAUUCGUAGAUAUUGGGAGGAACACCGGUGGCGAAAGCGGCUCUCUGGUCCGGUUCUGACGCUGAGGCGCGAAAGCGUGGGGAGCAAACAGGAUUAGAAACCCUAGUAGUCC
rnacentral:rRNA from 1 species